UACGUAGGGGGCAAGCGUUGUCCGGAUUUAUUGGGCGUAAAGAGCGUGUAGGCGGCCAGGUAGGUCUGCUGUGAAAACUCGAGGCUUAACCUCGAGCUGUCGGCGGAAACCAUCUGGCUAGAGUCCGGAAGAGGAGAAUGGAAUUCCCGGUGUAGCGGUGAAAUGGCGCAGAUAUCGGGAAGAACACCCGUGGCUAAGGCGGCUCUCUAGUACGGUACUGACGCUGAGACGCG
rnacentral:rRNA from 1 species